UUUUCUUCUUUCUGGACUCCUUCAUUUUGGCCAGUUCUUCUAUUUCAAGUGGAUCAAACUCCACUUCUUCCGUCGGGAAGUUUCCCAGAUACUCUUGGCUUUUCUUCGUGCAAUCCUGUGAAUAAUGUCCUUCUCCACAUGAGUAGCAUGCGUUGGAGAAAAAUCUGAUCAGACCUUGUCCAUCAGGGUCUUCAAUAUUUUCG
rnacentral:lncRNA from 1 species